CAGCAGCCGCGGUAAUACGGAGGGUGCAAGCGUUAUCCGGAUUUAUUGGGUUUAAAGGGUCCGUAGGCGGACUUAUAAGUCAGUGGUGAAAGCCUGUCGCUUAACGAUAGAACUGCCAUUGAUACUGUAAGUCUUGAGUAUAUUUGAGGUAGCUGGAAUAAGUAGUGUAGCGGUGAAAUGCAUAGAUAUUACUUAGAACACCAAUUGCGAAGGCAGGUUACCAAGAUAUAACUGACGCUGAGGGACGAAAGCGUGGGUAGCGAACAGGAUUAGAUACCCCCGUAGUCCCUGUCUCUUAUAA
rnacentral:rRNA from 1 species